rnacentral:rRNA from 1 species
AGAGUUUGAUCCUGGCUCAGGAUGAACGCUGGCGGCGUGCUUAACACAUGCAAGUCGAACGAAGCGCCUUGCCGGAACCCCUUCGGGGAGGAAGGCAUUGCGACUGAGUGGCGGACGGGUGAGUAACGCGUGGGCAACCUGCCCCAUACAGGGGGAUAACAGUUAGAAAUGACUGCUAACACCGCAUAAGCGCACAGGGCCGCAUGGCCCGGUGUGAAAAACUCCGGUGGUAUGGGAUGGGCCCGCGUCUGAUUAGCCAGUUGGCGGGGUAACGGCCCACCAAAGCGACGAUCAGUAGCCGACCUGAGAGGGUGACCGGCCACAUUGGGACUGAGACACGGCCCAAACUCCUACGGGAGGCAGCAGUGGGGAAUAUUGCACAAUGGGGGAAACCCUGAUGCAGCGACGCCGCGUGAGCGAAGAAGUAUCUCGGUAUGUAAAGCUCUAUCAGCAGGGAAGAAAAAUGACGGUACCUGACUAAGAAGCCCCGGCUAACUACGUGCCAGCAGCCGCGGUAAUACGUAGGGGGCAAGCGUUAUCCGGAUUUACUGGGUGUAAAGGGAGCGUAGGCGGCAGGGCAAGCCUGAUGUGAAAGCCCGGGGCUCAACCCCGGGACUGCAUUGGGAACUGCCCCGCUCGAGUGCCGGAGGGGCAGGCGGAAUUCCUAGUGUAGCGGUGAAAUGCGUAGAUAUUAGGAGGAACGCCAGUGGCGAAGGCGGCCUGCUGGACGGUUGACUGACGUUGAGGCUCGAAAGCGUGGGGAGCAAACAGGAUUAGAUACCCUGGUAGUCCACGCCGUAAACGAUGAUUACUAGGUGUCGGGGGGCCAAGGCCCUUCGGUGCCGGCGCAAACGCAUUAAGUAAUCCACCUGGGGAGUACGUUCGCAAGAAUGAAACUCAAAGGAAUUGACGGGGACCCGCGCAAGCGGUGGAGCAUGUGGUUUAAUCCGAAGCAACGCGAAGAACCUUACCCGGCCUUGACAUCCCGAUGAAUGUACAGUAAUGUGUACAGGACUUCGGUACAUCGGAGACAGGUGGUGCAUGGUUGUCGUCAGCUCGUGUCGUGAGAUGUUGGGUUAAGUCCCGCAACGAGCGCAACCCCUGCUCUCAGUAGCCAGCAGGUAAAGCUGGGAACUCUGAGGGGACUGCCCGGGAUAACCGGGAGGAAGGCGGGGAUGACGUCAAAUCAUCAUGCCCCUUAUGGCCGGGGCUACACACGUGCUACAAUGGCGGAAACAGAGGGAGGCAGCCCCGUGAGGGUGAGCGAACCCCAAAAAUACCGCCUCAGUUCGGAUUGCAGGCUGCAACCCGCCUGCAUGAAGCCGGAAUCGCUAGUAAUCGCAGAUCAGAAUGCUGCGGUGAAUACGUUCCCGGGUCUUGCACUAAGCGCCCGUCA